AUUAUCGUAGAAAGGAGAGAUGGUUGGCAUCUCCCCCGACAGGGACGGGAACAGCCUUCGGGCUUUACCAGUUAUCAGACACAUCAAAAGUUAUAUACCUAGGAAGAAACUCUCUUAAUUUAUUAU